GCCUUUCCUGGGAGCUAUCUGUAGAAUUCCCUCCUGGCUGCUGUCCUCUGAAUAUUGUGCAUCCCCCCCCCCCCCGGGGUGUAAUUAGGAGAUGGGAGAAACGUUUUUUUCUAAGACAGGGGGUUUCUCUGUGUUGUUCUGGCUAUCCUGAGACUUGCUCUGUACACCAGGCUAGCCUUGAACUCAGAGAUCCACUUGCCUCUGCUUCCUGAGUGCUGACAUUAAAGAUAAGGUUGGAUGUAUCCCAGGCUAAGCUCAAAGUCCUCUGUGGAGAAGACAGCCUUGAACUUGAGACCUUCCUGCUUGGGUUUCCAGUGCUGGGAUCAUCGGCUUGUGCCUUCACACUGGACGCUUAGGUGGAGCUGGGAUUAAUCCUGAGGCCCGGAACGUGCAGAGUUAGCAGGCUACCAGCUCUGCUAUCCGCAGCCAGCAAACCCGGCCUUCCCCACAGUCAGGAUUUUUCCAGUCUCCAGAGGUACGCUAUAGUCAGUACACUUAAACCGUUCCCUCCUCACCACACAGCCUCUCCACAUCGAGCGUCCGCUGGGUAAGCGCCAACAUAGAAUCGGUUAUAAAGUCGGACCCAUCAGAAUGUUGAUUUUUAAGGUACGUGGGAAGGAAGUGCUCCGUCCACCAAUGGUGCCUUCCUGGCUCCGGAGGGAAACCAGGCCGAGCGAGGGCUCUGAGAAGCCAGCUUUGGAAUGCUUAGCUGUUCUGCAGCUUAUUGUCUUCCAACUCCUGUUCCCGUCUGUUGGCAUGAAGGUAGGCAGCAUUCUCAUGUCAGGGAAGAGAGAGACUACGACUGUGUAGUUGCUAAUGUAGAAAGUGCAGAAGCCUAGGGGCCAGAGCAAAGUCCUUGAGCUGGGGACACCUCAGUAAAGUUAGGUUUCUGGUCAUCUUCAUGACAAGUGUUUAAAAGUAAUGCUAGAGACUUACAGCUUGACUUAUCUGCUCCUUGGAGUCUAAUCAGGAGCUUUGAAGAGAUGCUAAUGGCCAAGCCAUCUCAGACAAGCUCUUAGAAAGUCGCCUGGGUGACAUAAGUGAUGACCUUUGACCUGGAGCUUGGAAUUGAUCCCUCCCAUCUAACCUUUGAAACCUUCAGCUAACUAGCCCCUCUCUCGCAUGAUACCUCAGUUCCAUGAUGCUUCAGCUCUCCCAUGAUACCUCAGCUCUCCCAUGAUGCCUCAGGUGCUUGCUUCACAUGAGGACAUGAAUGCUGUAGACAUUCUUCAUCCAAACUUCCUUUUUUUUCAGAGUGGGCCUCACUCUUACCGAUCAAAGCCCAUUAAAGAAGCAUUUGAUUCAUCGUUCAGUUUUCACAAAAUUCUAUACAUUUAUUUCAAGUGUGAUUAAGAACAUCGGCUCUAAUGUCCAGGUCCAGUUCUGAGACUCACUAGCUUUGCAGUCUUAGAAAAAUCAGUUAACCUCUUGGUACUUAUGUGCCUACAAAAUCAGAUAAUAAUAGCAGGGGUGGGGUGGGGGUGCACCUGGAAUAAUAAAAGUACAACAAAUAUUAUCCUUAAAAAAUAUUGAUCACUUUCCUACCAGACUCCCCUGAUUUACAAUGGGAGCCUACCUAUUCAUGUACCUAAGGAUGCUCCAUAUGAAGUCAACGUUGUGGCUUGGAUAUGCUGAGCUCAAUUUUUUUCUUAAUUAUGAAUGAUAUACUAUUUAUCUUAAGCAUAUCCAUUUUUACAAUCAAAGUCCAAGUGUAUCCAAUAUCAUUUUUAUUAAUUUAAUUGAUAAGAUAGUUCCCAAGGUAAUACCUUGAUACAAGGAGAUGUCCUGGCUGAGAGACUCACUGUGGAUCAAUGCAGUGUCAAACUGCCUAACCCAGGGUUUCCACGCAUAAUUACUUGAGAUCACACUGGAGAACUAGCACCCUAACCCAGUGUGACUGCCAUCUUUACAUGGAGAGCUAUGAGAAGUGGUAUUUGGCAAAUACCAGAGGACAACCAUCAGUGGAAGAGGAUGUGUAUCAAAGACUGACAGCAACCCAAAAGCUACAAGAAGGAAGGAAGAAUUCCUUUUCAGACUUUAGGGUGAUCACAACCCUCUAUACACCUUGAUCUAGUAACUAGAAGAGAAAGGUUGAUUACCUUGGGCGUGUGUCGUGGUGAAGGAAUCGGACAAGCAGAAGUGGCAGCUGGCAUACAGAGUGAUGGGAAUAUUUCUGGAGUGCUCAAGUACAUAACCACCCACAGAUAUAAGAAAAGCGAGCAGCAGCGGCGCAGGCCACUUAAUCCAUAACAGAGUGAGUACAUUUCCAGCUGAAUGUCCACUGUGUCUCAGCCCAGCCCCAUCGCCUUCUCCAAAGACCAUCUUACCUCUGUCCCCACAGCCCACCAUGACAUGUUACUAUCAGAGCUACACUGUGUGGCUAUGUGUAUGUGCUAUGGGAUGUGUAUAUAGGUGCUUUAUGUGUAAAAAGAGCACGUAUUGCCCUAAUGCGGCAUCACUCCCUUUGAGAAAGCAAGUCUCAGACAAGUCCCCUAUGGCCUCACCAGGCACACUCAACAUCAUUCUUCUGCCUCGUGGCAGCCUUAAAGAACAGGACGAUGGAAGACCCUGUGAAAGACCUAGAAACCUAUAGAUACACUCUCUCUUGGUACUUCAAGAGUGUGGGCUUCUCACACAUGGUAAUUCAUUUUUAAAAUAAAUUUGUGCUUUU
ensembl:lincRNA